rnacentral:rRNA from 1 species
AACGCGAAGAACCUUACCUGGGCUCGAAGCACAGUGGACCGGGGUAGAAAUAUCCCUUUUCGCAAGAACUGCUGUGGAGGUGCUGCAUGGCUGUCGUCAGCUCGUGUCGUGAGAUGUUGGGUUAAGUCCCGCAACGAGCGCAACCCUUAUCGUUAGUUGCCAGCGGGUCAAGCCGGGCACUCUAGCGAAACCGCCUCGGAUAACGGGGGAGGAGGG